GGAGGCGGGAUUGAUUUCAGAAGACAUCACCAUCUCAGUUUGCGUAGCAGAAUUAGAUGCAGAUGAAAUGGAAAAAUAUUUGCUGAGUUGAUUUUGAGGGACUCACAGAUAUCUUGCGAAAAUCCUCUAUAAAAUUAGAUAUCUUGGCUCAAGGAUGUUGUCGUGCUGCUAAUGUUGGACUAAUAGUGGAAAAGAUGCCAGAACUACAAGAAUGUAUUGAUGCGGAUUAAAUGGCGUCGAAUGCUCUCAAUUAUCACUAUGGCUACAACGAGUUACUGAUAAGUGUUUUGAUCCGUGAAUAAUAGUAUCAUGGUGGAGGACUAAAGAAGUAUUAUGGUCAGAUAUUAAUCAUCUUUUAUGCGGCGAUGGUGGUGGAGGUGGUUAUGGUGACAGUGGGGACGUCAACAAAGAUGGAGGCUCUGGGUCGGAAAGACAUCAACAACAAUGGAAACAGUUUGCAGUGUGUACUGAAAGGAUCUGUAUACACUUUGCUGCCAAGCUCAUGUACUAAGAAGCAACCGUGUAAACAUUAAUUGAUAUAGAAGGUGAGGAAAUUAUCCAUGUAGUCACAAAAUGAAUAUCAAGUAACUGUUUCUCAGUAGUUGUUUCACUAUUUGAACACUUAAUGAGAAAGAGGUGGUGAAUUAUGUAGCAUUCCUGAUGCCAAUACUAAAUAGUAACGUACUGUAAACUAUGCGAGUUGUCAACUUCAAAAUACUUAAG